rnacentral:lncRNA from 1 species
UUUUUCACAACAUACGUGAUUCUAAUUGUUGGGAGAGUACACUCUUUUUCUAUAGAGAUAGAAAACUAGGGUUUAGCCAAACACCCAUCUUCUUGAAUCUUUCUUCUUCCUUGGUGGAUCACCUCUAGAGGCCAAACACUUGGGUGGCUAACGUUGAUCAAAGGAAAGAACAAAACCCAAUGGAUUCAAGUUGAACGCGAAAAGGA